rnacentral:tRNA from 1 species
GGGAGUGGAGGGGGCCCGGUGGCUUCCGCCGUCUUCAAAACGGUUGCGCGGCCGCACAAGCGGUCGCGGGUGGGUUCGACUCCCAUGCACUCCCGCCA